rnacentral:rRNA from 1 species
CAGCCGCCGCGGUAAUACGGAGGGAGCUAGCGUUGUUCGGAAUCACUGGGCGUAAAGCGCACGUAGGCGGCUAUUCAAGUCAGGGGUGAAAGCCCGGGGCUCAACCCCGGAACUGCCUUUGAAACUAGAUAGCUUGAACCUUGGAGAGGCGAGUGGAAUUCCGAGUGUAGAGGUGAGAUUCGUAGAUAUUCGGAAGAACACCAGUGGCGAAGGCGACUCGCUGGACAAGUAUUGACGCUGAGGUGCGAAAGCGUGGGGAGCAAACAGGAUUAGAUACCCCUGUAGUCCCUGUCUCUUAUAC